UACGUAGGUGGCAAGCGUUGUCCGGAAUUACUGGGUGUAAAGGGAGCGCAGGCGGGAAGCCAAGUCAGCUGUGAAAACUACGGGCUUAACUUGUAGACUGCAGUUGAAACUGGUUUUCUUGAGUGAAGUAGAGGUUGGCGGAAUUCCGAGUGUAGCGGUGAAAUGCGUAGAUAUUCGGAGGAACACCGGUGGCGAAGGCGGCCAACUGGGCUUUAACUGACGCUGAGGCUCGAAAGUGUGGGGAGCAAACAGG
rnacentral:rRNA from 1 species